rnacentral:rRNA from 1 species
GACGAACGCUGGCGGCGUGCUUAACACAUGCAAGUCGAACGGUGAAGCGAGUGCUUGCACUCGUGGAUCAGUGGCGAACGGGUGAGUAACACGUGAGUAACCUGCCCAUCACUCUGGGAUAAGCACUGGAAACGGUGUCUAAUACUGGAUACGACCAACCCUUGCAUGGGGUGUUGGUGGAAAGAUUUAUCGGUGAUGGAUGGACUCGCGGCCUAUCAGCUUGUUGGCGGGGUAAUGGCCCACCAAGGCGACGACGGGUAGCCGGCCUGAGAGGGUGACCGGCCACACUGGGACUGAGACACGGCCCAGACUCCUACGGGAGGCAGCAGUGGGGAAUAUUGCACAAUGGGCAAAAGCCUGAUGCAGCGACGCCGCGUGAGGGAUGACGGCCUUCGGGUUGUAAACCUCUUUCAGCAGGGAAGAAGCGAAAGUGACGGUACCUGCAGAAGAAGCACCGGCUAACUACGUG